AUACGGAGGGGGUUAGCGUUGUUCGGAAUUACUGGGCGUAAAGCGUACGUAGGCGGAUCAGAAAGUAAGGGGUGAAAUCCCAGGGCUCAACCCUGGAACUGCCUCUUAAACUCCUGGUCUUGAGUUCGAGAGAGGUGAGUGGAAUUCCAAGUGUAGAGGUGAAAUUCGUAGAUAUUUGGAGGAACACCAGUGGCGAAGGCGGCUCACUGGCUCGAUACUGACGCUGAGGUACGAAAGUGUGGGGAGCAAACAGGAUUAGAAACCCUAGUAGUCC
rnacentral:rRNA from 1 species